GCCCGCUUAGCUCAGUGGUAGAGCGCGUCACUUGUAACAUUGAGAUGAUGAGGUCGGUUGUUCAAUCCAGCCAGUGGGCA
rfam:Coniophora puteana RWD-64-598 SS2 unplaced genomic scaffold CONPTscaffold_11, whole genome shotgun sequence.